UUGGAAACCAAAGGCUGAGUCUGAAAGAGGGACAGGGACUGGGCUGGGAGGGGAAGGCUGCAGGAGAGACUCAGGAAGAGGGAGUGAGUGACUCCACACCCACAGAAGGAGAGGGGGAUGAAGAAACCUGCCAGGAAGGUGCCUCCCGCCAGUAUCUGAUGAAGGUAAGAGAAUGAAGAGGAUUCCAACCUCCACCACGGCAAGAGCAAAACACUAGCCGUAAGGAACCAAGGAACCAGCCAGACGAUUGGAGGCGGGUUC